rnacentral:rRNA from 1 species
CACGUAGGGUGCGAGCGUUGCCCGGAAUUAUUGGGCGUAAAGAGCUCGUAGGCGGUGUGUCGCGUCGGCCGUGAAAACCUGCAGCUUAACUGUGGGCUUGCGGUCGAUACGGGCAUCACUGGAGUUCGGCAGGGGAGACUGGAAUUCCUGGUGUAGCGGUGAAAUGCGCAGAUAUCAGGAGGAACACCGAUGGCGAAGGCAGGUCUCUGGGCCACUACUGACGCUGAGAAGCGAAAGCAUGGGGAGCGAACAGG